rnacentral:rRNA from 1 species
AUUGAACGCUGGCGGCAUGCCUUACACAUGCAAGUCGAACGGCAGCACGGGUGCUUGCACCUGGUGGCGAGUGGCGAACGGGUGAGUAAUAUAUCGGAACGUACCUUAUUGUGGGGGAUAACGCAGCGAAAGCUGUGCUAAUACCGCAUAAUCCCUAAGGGGGAAAGCGGGGGGCCGUAAGGCCUCGCGCAAUUAGAGCGGCCGAUACCUGAUUAGCUAGUUGGUGAGGUAAAGGCUCACCAAGGCAACGGUCAGUAGCUGGUCUGAGAGGACGAUCAGCCACACUGGGACUGAGACACGGCCCAGACUCCUACGGGAGGCAGCAGUGGGGAAUUUUGGACAAUGGGGGCAACCCUGAUCCAGCAAUGCCGCGUGAGUGAAGAAGGCCUUCGGGUUGUAAAGCUCUUUUGUCAGGGAAGAAACAGCAGCUCUAACACAGUUUGCGAAUGACGGUACCUGAAGAAUAAGCACCGGCUAACUACGUGCCAGCCGCCGCGGUAA